rnacentral:lncRNA from 1 species
UGGCUCUGAGCUUCAUGGUGUCUAACGUCGCCGGAAAAAGGACUUCCUUAAGCUGGUGUCUGAUCAUUUACCCUUCUCCACUGCACUCCCCCCUCAUUGAUUUGAAAGGAAUGGACUUGUGUAAGAAAUCUGGUGGAGUGAGCAAGUAAUAAGCAGAAAGGUAGGGAAUUGGAACGUCGCCCUACACACCCACACUGCUGGGUUCUUAUCAGCUUCCCCAGACGACGUAGCUGUAAAGCCUAGGAAGGGAAACCAACAACUUCCAUCAUCUGUCUACACUAGCAAUAACACCUGGGCUGUGUUCAUUAGGCACCAAAUGGAAGAAAACGGACUGAAACAGGAAGGGUAUACCUGGACCUGUGUAAUAUGUUAAAUUGUCACACGAGGGCAGUGUUGCACAGCAGAGCUACCACAUUAGAGACUCAUGAAUUCUCCUCGCCUCUCUUGCCAGUAGUCACUACUGCUCUUCAAUCUGGCUUUAUGAAAAGUAUUGGGAAUAUUGUAUGUUGUCGAGUACACCAUGAGUUAGAUUAGUAGGGUUUCAUCCAGUAUUUGUUUUCCUUUCAAAUACUUUAGCUGCGCUUGAUUGAGCUUGCCUGGCGCCAUGGAACCAAUGAAAUAGUCCCAAAUGUACUUCAAAACACGCCCAUGUGGCACUCCAGUCAGGCUCAAUGAAACGCAAUGCAAUUCAAAAAGUAUUCAAAAAAAUGUAUGAAUCCUAUUUGGACCCUGAUCUGGUUUAAUCACAGUAUACUUUCUCUGUGUGUGAUGCUCUUUGAGUUUGUCUUCCUGUGUGUCUUAAUGCCCCUUUUGAGGUCUUAUUAUUCUGCUCUGCUUUUGGUUGUUUUAUAUAAAAAGUUGUGACACUGGGUAUUUAAUAAUGAUUUAACGGUGUACUUCCUGGUUAUUGUCCUCUCACCCUUUGGUUUGAGUCUGUAGUCCAACCAGCUCAGCCAGCCUUUCAAACUGCCGCUCACUGUAGUCGAUGAGAAACAAACAGUACUCAAAAUAACAUUUAAAUAAUGUCUUUGUAUGAUAUGCUAAAAACUAUGUAUGUGCGUAUAAUUUUUUCAGUUUUUAAAAUUAAAUAUUUCAACUCAUUAAUAUGACAAACCUGUUUUUUUUUUUUGUUUUUUGCUCACUUCAAUGCAGACUGACCU